UGGGGAAUCUUCCGCAAUGGACGAAAGUCUGACGGAGCAACGCCGCGUGAGUGAAGAAGGUUUUCGGAUCGUAAAACUCUGUCUUUUGGGGCGAACGUGAGUAUGGUGAACAAUCAUAGUCAGUGACGGUACCAAAGGAGGAAGCCACGGCUAACUACGUGCCAGCAGCCGCGGUAAUACGUAGGUGGCAAGCGUUGUCCGGAAUUAUUGGGCGUAAAGAGCGCGUAGGCGGGAUAGUCAGGUCUGUUGUAAAAGUGCGGGGCUCAACCCCGUGAUCGCAAUGGGAACAGCUAUUCUUGAGUGCAGGAGAGGAAAGUGGAAUUCCCAGUGUAGCGGUGAAAUGCGUAGAUAUUGGGAGGAACACCAGUGGCGAAGGCGACUUUCUGGACUGUGUCUGACGCUGAGGCGCGAAAGCCAGGGGGAGCGAACGGGAUUA
rnacentral:rRNA from 1 species